rnacentral:tRNA from 1 species
GCGCUUGUAGCUUAAUGGAUAAAGCAAUAGGGUACGAACCUAUCGACUAAAAGUUCAAUUCUUUUCAAGCGUU